GAUGAACGCUGACAGAAUGCUUAACACAUGCAAGUCUUUGGCGAAGCUGUGCUUGCACAGCCUAGCCAAGGCGGACGGGUGAGUAACGCGUAAGGGACUUGCCCUGCAGUCAGGGAUAACAGACGGAAACGACUGAUAAAACCUGGUAAAGUCAGGCGGACUCAUGUCCAGCCUGAUGAAAAGGAAUGCUGCAGGAGAGCCUUGCGUCCUAUUAGCUCGUUGGUGGGGUAACGGCCCACCAAGGCGAUGAUAGGUAGCCGGCCUGAGAGGGUGGACGGCCACAAGGGGACUGAGAUACGGCCCUUACUCCUACGGGAGGCAGCAGUGGGGAAUAUUGGACAAUGGGGGCAACCCUGAUCCAGCAAUUCUGUGUGCACGAUGAAGGUCUUCGGAUUGUAAAGUGCUUUCAGCAGGGAAGAAAAAAAUGACGGUACCUGCAGAAGAAGCGACGGCUAAAUACGUGCCAGCAGCCGCGGUAAUACGUAUGUCGCGAGCGUUAUCCGGAAUUAUUGGGCAUAAAGGGCAUCUAGGCGGCCGGAUAAGUCUGGGGUGAAAACUUGCGGCUCAACCGCAAGCCUGCCCUGGAAACUAUGCGGCUAGAGUACUGGAGAGGUGGACGGAACUGCACGAGUAGAGGUGAAAUUCGUAGAUAUGUGCAGGAAUGCCGAUGAUGAAGAUAGUUCACUGGACGGUAACUGACGCUGAAGUGCGAAAGCUAGGGGAGCAAACAGG
rnacentral:rRNA from 1 species